CACUGAUUCAGUACAUUCAGGAGGCCCUGGCAGAGGAUCUAGCCAGCUCCAAGGUGUGUGCUGUACACGGAUGUCUGGGAACUCAGCCAGCUGGCCCAGGGGUGGAGCCGACCGGCCACAACUAUAACAGGCCACUGUGUCCUGAUCUCUUUCUAAACACCCUCGAGCCACGGCUCCCACACGGCACCCCAGUGCCUCUGUAUCAGGGUGUCUGAAGGCAGGAAGCCUCGGAGCACCACAGAGGAGCAGCAGGCUCAGGCCGCCGUGGAGAGAGAGCCAAGGUCUCCAACCACCCUCCCUGACCUUCUUCACGCAGGCACCAGAGACCCCUGUGUGUGCAGGGGGCGGAGCUUUGCUCCAUGGCAACCUCAUCACCAUGGAGAAUGCGUUCUGACAUAUUGGGCACAAGUGGAGCACAACCUCUCCUUCCUCUGGCUGAACAUGGUGCAGAGUCACACCGUGGUGUGAUCAGACAUGUACAUAGGGACACCCGCUGGCGAGGACGGGGUGCCCAGCAGAUAAGACAAGCCCACCGCCGACAGGAAAGAUCCCCAGGACACAGAACGAGGCCACUCUGCUCACUGAGCUGAAUUUUGCCUAGGAAGAAGAGAGCAUCGUCAAGGGAGGCUGUCCACGGGCAGGCUCAGCCGGGAGAGUGGACGACCAGACCCCGGGGGCAUCUGAGCCCCUGUAGCUGUCGUGAAUCAUCCAUGUGAAGUCUAUGAGCUCUGCUCCUGUUGUGUUUAAGUGAAUGGAUAAAUAUCUUCCAAACA